rnacentral:rRNA from 1 species
UACGAAGGGAGCGAGCGUUGUUCGGAAUCACUGGGCUUAAAGCGUGCGUAGGCGGAUAUACAAGUCAGAAGUGAAAUCCCCGGGCUUAACCCGGGAAUUGCUUUUGAGACUGUAUGUCUAGAAACCAGAAGAGGUUAGCGGAAUAUCCAGUGUAGAGGUGAAAUUCGCAGAUAUUGGAUAGAACACCAGUGGCGAAGGCGGCUAACUGGUCUGGUAUUGACGCUGAGGUACGAAAGCGUGGGGAGCAAACAGG